AGGCCUGUAGUUCAGUUGGUAGAGCAUCGGUCUCCAAAACCGAGUGUCGCGGGUUCAAAUCCUGCCGGGCCUG
rnacentral:tRNA from 2 species